UACGUAGGGGGCUAGCGUUGUCCGGAAUCAUUGGGCGUAAAGAGCGUGUAGGCGGUCCGGUAAGUCCGCUGUGAAAGUCGGGGGCUCAACCCUCGAAUGCCGGUGGAUACUGUCGGGCUAGAGUGCGGAAGAGGCGAGUGGAAUUCCUGGUGUAGCGGUGAAAUGCGUAGAUAUCUGGAGGAAUACCGGUGGCGAAGGCGGCAUCCUGGACCGACAUUGACGCUGAUGAGCGAAAGCUAGGGGAGCAAACGGG
rnacentral:rRNA from 1 species